rfam:Ictidomys tridecemlineatus contig053215, whole genome shotgun sequence.
GGGAUUGUAGCUCAGUGGAAGAGUGCUUGUCUAGCAAGCACGAGGCCCUGGGUUUGAUCCUCAGCACCA